UGCCACAGCCACAUCACCUUGCAGCCCAAGACUGGUUACUCAGUGAAGCUAAGCAGGGCUGUACCUGGUCAGUGCCUGGAUGAGAGACCACAUGGGAAAACAAGGUUGCUGUUGGAG
ensembl:rRNA 5S_rRNA 5S ribosomal RNA